GGACAGCUGUCAUUCAGGCAAUUAAAAGAAGAGAAAGUGUCAAAAGUGAUUAGUGUUGAUUAAAAAAAAGUGUCGCUUAAGAAGUAUAACUGAUAAUAAUAUAAUAAAAAUGGACAUUGGAACCUUUUUUAAUAAUACUACAAGUACGUAAUAGUUGACUUAAGUUAUUGCAUUACACUUUUUAAUGAUACAUAUGUUCUUAUUGCAACGAGAUUGAAGAGGAGGCUGAGCUUAAAUGAUAGCAUCUCAACUGAAGAGAGGUACGCGGCAGAUAUGAAGGCGGAUGAUUGCCAUGCCAACGAUAUUGGCAAAUGGGUGGCUUUAGUCGGUACGAUGAGUGAGGAGCAGAAAAAGUAACUGUUGGUUAGUUGUUGGAAGCCCGACCAAAAUUAUAAUUUUUCAACUGAUGCAACACACUUGAAGAGAAAAUUCAAUUGGUCAUGAUUAGAUUUAUACAAACCAUGGUUGGUGUACUCGUGCAGGCUAAAGGGCGCUUUUUGUCUUUAUUGCGUGCUGUUUAAGCCUCUCAACAAACUUGGCGUAACUUCCUCGUUUGUUGUACGCCCUUUUACAAAAUUUAAAAAUGUGCAUGAGUACUGCAAAGCUCAUGCAUCAAGCAGUUUGCAUAAAGGAGCUACGCAAUCAACAAUGUCAUUUUUAAAUGAAACUCCUGUCGAUUUGCAAAUGCAACGGGGUCAUCCAAAAAAAAAUUGAACGAAAUAAAAAAAUUAAUAAAUCCAUUAUAAAUACAAUUUUGUUUUGUGGAACGCAUGACCUUACUCUUCGUGGCAAAAAGAAUGAUGAAGGGUGUUCUAUAUGAUCUGCUUAUGAUGAGUUGGUGAUGAGGCAUUAAAAAACAAUUUGGAGGAUAGCAAACAAAACGCAAAGUAUACUAGUCCACAAAUCCAAAAUGAAAUUUUGGACAUUUCGGCGAAAGUAAUUAUAAAUUACAUCUGCACAGCAGACAUGUCUGGAAAGGAACAAAUUUCGAUAGGAAUUCGAUUUUUUGACAGCAGAAAAAAAAUUAUCCGUGAAGAAUUUAUGGGAUUUAUGGAAUUAGAUGCAAUGGAUGCAGCAACAAUUGUAGCCAACAUCAAAGGAUUUGUGGAAGGUUUUGACUUAGAUCCUGCUAAAUGUGUUGGGCUUGGGUUUGAUGGAUGUGCUACUAUGGCCGGCAAUACUAGUGGGGUGCAUAAAAUAUUAUACAUUCCAAAAAAGUUGUUAUAUUCAUUGCGCCAGUCAUUGCCUCAAUUUGUACAUUCUUUGUUUGAAACACGCUGGUCGUAGAAGUACAAAAGCAUCGCUGAUUUUUAAAAUUUCUAUUGUGAUAUAAUAGAUGGAUUGGAAAAACUAAGCACAGAAGGAAACGCUGGCACGAGAAAAUUUGCAUUCCAACUUCACAGUGCUGCAACUAAAAGCGUUUUUCUUAUUUGUAUGUUCAUUAUUGCCAAAUAUUACAGCAUUCUCCAACCCGUAGUGAAUAUAUUGCAAGCCAAGAACAAUGAUGUGAUUAAAUGUAGAGAUCACAUCAAUAACAUUUUAAAUUUAUUUGAGGAACAUCGAGAGACAUCUGCCAGCGAAUUUGAAACGAUUUUUAGAGACUGUGAAAUGUUAGCUGAGAAUGCAUCGAUCAAUAUAAGUGUGUCCAGAGUCGGCGAGAAGCAAACAAAAAGAUCAAAUCCUCCAUUCACGACAACAGCAGAGUAUUAUCGCCGGGCAAUUUUCAUUCCCUAUUUGGACUCUUUAAUAACAUCUAUUAGAGAACGAUUUCCUAAAGAAAACACUCCAACUUUUGAUCUCGCAGCCUUAAGUCCACUGCAUAUGAAANCUAUCUCUCUAAGCGAAUUCAAUGAAAAAGUUUUGCGUGCAAGUUCUUUUUACAAUAUAAAAAAUAUUGAAAAUGAGCUUAAACUUUAUUAAAAAUAUUGGAAAGAUAGAGGAAAAGGGAGGGACUUGGAAUUCUGUUCGCAAUUCCCUGCACAACUGCCACUGUUGAACGGUCGAGGGAAUCGGUUGAAUGGAUUGUGCAUGCUUAGCACCCGCCGGGCUUUAGUCAAAGAGAAUCAAGCGGAAAUGGAAACGAAAAUUCUGGAGGAGUUUUCACCGAAUCCAAGAAAACUUUAAUUAGCAUGAAAUGUAUAAAAAUAAUAUAAAAAAGUUACUGGAAUUAAAAAAUUUUUUCAGCCCCACCCUACAUGCGGACCCUU
rnacentral:lncRNA from 1 species